AGGAUGAACGCUGGCGGCGUGCCUAAUACAUGCAAGUCGAGCGGUAAGGCCUCUUCGGAGGUACACGAGCGGCGGACGGCUGAGUAACACGUAGGAACGUACCCCAAAGUGAGGGAUAAGCACCAGAAAUGGUGUCUAAUACCACAUGUGAUCUUCGGAUUAAAGCUCCGGCGCUUUGGGAACGGCCUGCGCAUGAUUAGCUUGUUGGUGAGGUAAAAGCUCACCAAGGCGACGAUCAUUAGCUGGUCUGAGAGGAUGACCAGCCAGACUGGGACUGAGAACGGCCCAGACUCCUACGGGAGGCAGCAGUAGGGAAUUUUCCACAAUGGGCGAAAGCCUGAUGGAGCAACGCCGCGUGCAGGAUGAAUGCCUUCGGGUUGUAAACUGCUUUUAUAUGUGACGAUUAUGACGGUAGCAUAUGAAUAAGGAUCGGCUAACUCCGUGCCAGCAGCCGC
rnacentral:rRNA from 1 species